rnacentral:siRNA from 1 species
ACCCUCCUUGCCAAACAGAAGGUU